GCAGUAGCCGCGGUAAUACGAAGGGUGCAAGCGUUAAUCGGAAUUACUGGGCGUAAAGCGUGCGUAGGCGGUGAGUUAAGUCUGCUGUGAAAUCCCCGGGCUCAACCUGGGAAUGGCAGUGGAUACUGGCUCGCUAGAGUGUGUCAGAGGAUGGUGGAAUUCCCGGUGUAGCGGUGAAAUGCGUAGAGAUCGGGAGGAACAUCAGUGGCGAAGGCGGCCAUCUGGGACAACACUGACGCUGAGGCACGAAAGCGUGGGGAGCAAACAGGAUUAGAGACCCCCGUAGUCCCUGUCUCUUAUAC
rnacentral:rRNA from 1 species